rnacentral:rRNA from 1 species
UGCGUAGGCGGAAGAUUAAGUCAGUGAUGAAAUCCUGCAGCUCAACUGUAGAACUGUCAUUGAUACUGAUUUUCUUGAAUACAGUUGAGGUAGGCGGAAUAUGUGAUGUAGCGGUGAAAUGCUUAGAUAUUACAUAGAACACCAAUUGCGAAGGCAGCUUACUAAACUGUGAUUGACGCUGAGGCACGAAAGCGUGGGGAGCGAACAGGAUUAGAUACCCUGGUAGUCC